rnacentral:lncRNA from 1 species
AAUAUCGCGAAUGGACUGGGUGUUUCUGAUAAACAUGAUGUGGACGACAUACCUGAAGUUUUAUUGAACACGGAUGGUCUCCAUUUAAUACCUACUAAAAAUAAUUCAACGGAAGGUGAAGUUGAACUGCUUGAAAAUAUCAUAACUGAUGGGUUAACAUUUGCAUCAAAUGUGAUCAAUAGCAAUAUUUCUUCAGACGAUUCUAGUGACGAGGAUGAAAACUAUAUGCCGGAGAGAAGUGACUAGCAGUGCAGUUGAAGAAAAAAUAGAAGCUGUUCCACAGUCUAGAUAUGAAAAUAUAGAGAGGAGAUCAAAAUCAGGUAAUACCUGUAUGAAUUCCAACACUAAAGGAGUUUAUUCACGAAAAAAAAAGAGCGGAACGUAAAAGAAAUCGAAACUUUGGAAAAGCUUAUGUAACAGCAAAAAAUAAGGUAAAACGAGCACGCUGCAUGAAAAAACUUGAAGCCUGUAGAAAUAAAUGCAAUAACAAAAUUACAGAAGAUGUACAAAAAAAACUGCUCGACGAAUAUUGGUCUAUGGUUAGUCGUAACAAACGUGUUGCAUAUAUUGUUAGACUUAUAGACUCCGAACCACCUAAAACCACUAGAAAAGGGAGUUUAGAUCCGGAUAAAGAAAAAGUUCGCAAAGUGACUCAUGUUAGAACAAAAAUUCACAUGUUGCUAAGAUGUUUUUAGUAGGAAUGCAAAAUAACACUAAUUUAGAAGUUAUUGACCAUAAAUUCAUGGUGAGUGGGCACAGUCAUAUGGAGUGUGAUAUUGAUCAUGGAUUGAUCGAAAAGCAAAAAAAA